rnacentral:tRNA from 1 species
GCCGGGGUGGCGGAACUGGUAGACGCGCUGGAUUUAGGAUCCAGUGGAAGCAAUUCUGUGAGGGUUCAACUCCCUCUCCCGGCA